rnacentral:rRNA from 1 species
UGCCUAACACAUGCAAGUCGAACGGGCACUGAUUUGGCGGAGAUUCGUCGAAGCCGAUGAAAGUUUAGUGGCGGACGGGUGAGUAACGCGUGGGUAACCUGCCUCAUAGUGGGGGACAACAGCUGGAAACGGCUGCUAAUACCGCAUAAGCCCACAGUACCGCAUGGUACAGAGGGAAAAGAUUUAUCGCUAUGAGAUGGACCCGCGUUUGAUUAGCUGGUUGGCGGUGUAACGGACCACCAAGGCGACGAUCAAUAGCCGGACUGAGAGGUUGAACGGCCACAUUGGGACUGAGACACGACCCAAACUCCUACGGGAGGCAGCAGUGGGGAAUAUUGCACAAUGGGGGAAACCCUGAUGCAGCGACGCCGCGUGGGUGAAGAAGUUUUUCGGAAUGUAAAGCCCUAUCAGCAGGGAAGAUAACGACGGUACCUGACUAAGAAGCCCCGGCUAACUACGUGCCAGCAGCCGCGGUAAUACGUAGGGGGCAAGCGUUAUCCGGAUUUACUGGGUGUAAAGGGAGCGUAGACGGAAUAGCAAGUCUGAAGUGAAAUGUAGGGGCUCAACUCCUGAACUGCUUUGGAAACUGUUGAUCUUGAGUACCGGAGGGGCAGGCGGAAUUCCUGGUGUAGCGGUGAAAUGCGUAGAUAUCAGGAAGAACACCGGUGGCGAAGGCGGCCUGCUGGACGGUAACUGACGUUGAGGCUCGAAAGCGUGGGGAGCAAACAGGAUUAGAUCCCUGGUAGUCACGCCGUAACGAUGAUACUAGUGUCGCAUCNAGGAUGUCGUGCUGCGUUACC